AUUGAACGCUGGCGGCAUGCUUUACACAUGCAAGUCGAACGGUAACAGGUUAAGCUGACGAGUGGCGAACGGGUGAGUAAUGCAUCGGAACGUGCCCGGUCGUGGGGGAUAACGCAGCGAAAGCUGCGCUAAUACCGCAUACGAUCUGAGGAUGAAAGCGGGGGACCGUAAGGCCUCGCGCGAUCGGAGCGGCCGAUGUCAGAUUAGGUAGUUGGUGGGGUAAAGGCUCACCAAGCCAACGAUCUGUAGCUGGUCUGAGAGGACGACCAGCCACACUGGGACUGGGACACGGCCCAGACUCCUACGGGAGGCAGCAGUGGGGAAUGUUGGACAAUGGGCGAAAGCGUGAUCCAGCAAUGCCGCGUGCAGGAAGAAGGCCUUCGGGUUGUAAACUGCUUUUGUACGGAGCGAAAAGGUGUCCUCUAAUACAGGGGGCUCAUGACGGUACCGUAAGAAUAAGCACCGGCUAACUACGUGCCAGCCGCCGCAGUAAAAC
rnacentral:rRNA from 1 species